GAGUGUAUAGCUCAGUGCUAGAGCAUGCUUAGCAUGCACAAGGGCCUGGGUUCAAUUCCCAGUACCUCCA
rnacentral:tRNA from 1 species